GGGAGGUUGUCUGUCCCUAUCACGAGGUUGUUACGUCACCAGACCUGAGGAAGGGGAACAGUGUGGCCCCAGGAGUCCGGCUCUCAUUCUCUUGAUGCAGGAAGAAUUAAACCUGGAGCCUGCUGAGACGUCUUUGCAGCAACAGUGUCCACCCACCUUCCUGGGGACAAGCCUCUGAGUGACACCUGCCCCCUCAGUGUCCUUUGUUUCCUGGUUCAAGCGUCCUCCUCAUGCUGUGGUCCUGCCUUCAAGCUUCAGGGGACAUUGAUUUGGGUUACAGUCCUGGUUUUUACUUAAAAAAGAUAUUUGUUUAAAUACUCAUCA